UGCGGAUGGGAAUACAUGUUAUGGCAUGAACCCUCCCCCCAUCUCUCCAAGGCCUUAAGCACUGCAGUCAGCGCAUAUAGAUCUCUCAAAAUGAUGGGUCACAAAAGGCUGCUUCUUGCCUGUGGCUCAAGGCUGGUCUCUCACAAUGGCUCUUUUUCAACAUCUGCCAUGGCUCACAAGAGCUACAAGCUGGUGGUGGUGGGAGGAGGUGCUGGAGGCUGUGCCACGGCUGCCAAGUUUUCCUCCAAGCUGGGUGCUGGCAGCGUGGUAGUGAUUGAGCCGGCUGACACCCACUACUACCAGCCCAUGUGGACUCUGGUGGGUGGAGGCAUGAAGAGGCUGGAGGACUCUGGCCGGCCCAUGAGUCAGGUCCUCCCCAAGAAGGCAGACUGGAUCAAGCAGCGAGUAGUGACCUUUGACCCUCAUAAGAACAAGGUCAUAACCCAGGAUGGCCAAGAGAUCAGCUAUGAAUUCCUAGUGGUUGCUCUCGGUAUUCAGCUCAAUUACAAUCAGAUCAAAGGCUUACCUGAUGCCUUUGAGACUCCUGGUGUGUGCUCCAACUACUCCCCUCAUUAUGUUAACAACACUCUAGAGAGUCUAAAGAACUUUAAAGAGGGAAAUGCUCUCUUCUCCUUCCCCAACACUCCCAUCAAAUGUGCUGGAGCUCCUCAGAAGAUCAUGUACAUUUCCGACCAAUAUCUCCGUAAGCAUGGGAAGCGUGAUAAGGCCAACAUCCAGUACUUCACUUCCCUGCCAGUCAUCUUUGGCAUCAAGAAGUAUGCUGAUGCCUUAUGGGAGGUGGUGAAGGAGCGAGACAUCACUGUCAACCUGCGCCACAAUCUCAUUGAGGUGAAGCCAGACUCCCGGGAAGCCGUGUUCCAGAACCUAGAAAACCCUGAUGACCUCAAGACUAUCAAGUAUGAGAUGCUUCAUGUGACACCCCCAAUGAGUUCACCAGACCCCCUCCGUCAGUGUGCCGCUCUCACCAAUGAGACGGGCUAUUUGAAUGUGAACAAGCACACUCUGCAGCAUGUCACCUUCCCUAAUGUGUUUGGCAUUGGUGACUGCACCAGUGUUCCUACCUCCAAGACUGCAGCCGCUGUGGCUGGCCAGUUUGGAGUGAUGAAGAGGAACCUGAGCCUGGUAAUGGGUGGUGCCUCCCCCAAACACCAGUAUGACGGUUACACCUCCUGCCCUCUAGUUACUGGUUACAACAAGUGCAUCCUGGCAGAAUUUGACAUGGAUGGGAAUCCACUAGAGACCUUCCCCAUCAACCAGGCCAAGGAGCGGCGCACCAUGUUCCACCUCAAGAAGGACAUGAUGCCAACCAUGUACUGGAAUGGAAUGCUUAACCUGUCAUGUCCAAGAGAAAGAACUGUACCAUACGACAGCAAUGUUGCCUAAAAAUGAAUGCCUACAAAACAAGUACAUAUAUGAAAAAUGCAAAGCGGAAGUAAAUUACAUCCAGGUCACAAGUCCUGGAUAGGCUACUGGGAGGGACCAAAGUACCUGAGAAAACUUAUGCACCUGGGAAUGAAGUGAAGAGAAAAAGAACACUUGAGUAAAUGUGUUGAUUAAAGUUUUAUUUUUGUAGUAAAAUUCAUUGAGGUAGGUGUCUG
rnacentral:misc_RNA from 1 species